GUCGAUUUAAUUGCGAUGUCCCAGGACGCAUCACCGACUCAUUUAUUUUAAUACGCAUGUGGAAGCAUAUAAUUAAUUUCCAGACAAUAAAACAAUGAGAUAGAAAAGUAGGAUCAAUUUUUCACAAAAUACCUUUUAUAAACACAGAUUUAUAUACAAAGGUUUACAAAAUGAAUCGGCUCCCUACAAAAGAGAGUUAUCCCACGACUAGCUAGUCGGACAUGAUCACUGAUUCUUUAGGCUUCACCUCAUGAACUCCGGGGCUCCUGGUCCUUUACCAACACCAUCUAUGGACCUGAAAAUGGUUAUACAAUAACCAAUAAGACAAUGUCUCAACGAGUUUUACCCCUUAAAAUUCGAUUAGGAAGUCAAUACGUCCAAAGGCUGCCUAAGCACAAUUAUGAGCCAGAGGACUUACCUUGGCCUUAGUCUCCUCCCUGCAAAUUAGCACAAUUCAUAAACUCAUCGAGUCACAUCAACACAUUGAUCAUUCACUCAGAUUGACUUAUCGAUCAAUCGACCUAGUUGAUUACAUAUCAGUUAGACCAUUCUCCGGUCAUUUUAAUCCAUACCAUACAUUCUCAAAGAUGAUAUAUUUAGUCACCGAGUCCACGUGCCUUCUCCAAGAUGACAUACAUAGUCACCGAGCCCACGUGCAACCUCCAAGAUGACAUAUCUAAUCACCGAGCGCACGUGCAUUCUCCAAAAUGAUGUACCUAGUCACCAAGCCCAUGUGCAUUCUCCAAGGUGAUGUACCAAGUCACUGAGCCAAUAUAAUAUAACGUCUUUCUCUGAGAUGACAUACUUAGUCAUCGAGCUGACGUAACAUAGUGUCUUUCUCCGAGAUGAUACAUUUAGUCAUCGAGCCGACGUAACAUAGCAUUCUUUUUCACCUUUUGUCAUACCCGAUAAAAUAGCCGUGUGUGGGUACACGGUUAGCCUUAGCCAAAAUACCAUAAUUUCACUUUUACAAUUCCCACCAUUUUAUAUAGUCCAUCAAAAUAUUUUUGGUGUUGUAAACCAAUUGGUUAUUUUCUAAUCAAUUACUGAAAUUAAAUCAAUUUAAGAAUAAAUUCCAAAAAUGCAAUUCAUAUACAAUCAGCACAAUUUAAGGCUCAAUUAAUUAAACAUAUCACACCACUGAAAUCAGCGUAAUUUUUUGGUCACCAGCCAUCCUGGUCUAAUUUCGGGAAAAUAAAUAAAUAAAUAAAUAAUUACGGAAAAUAUUAAAUAAAUGCAAUAAAUCCAACUUAGGCCCAUAAUGCCUAAUUGGACACCGAAACGGAUCUGGAAAAAUUCCAAAGUUCGUUAAAUCAAUACUAGAAUGUGUUUACUUGCUAAUUGCACUAACUAACCACCUAACAUGUAUCAGCAGAUAAUUACAUUAACUAAUCUAAUCUAAUUUAUCCAUCUAACCAUGCUUAAUUAAAUCUAAUCAACUCCUAAACAUCAUUAACCUACUAAGCGAGGUUUAGUGAGUUAAACUCACUUGUUUUGUGAUCUGAUUGACUCAAAUCGUCGGAAACGCAAUGGGACACAAUCCUCUCUAAAGCGGCGACGCCAACGGGGCUCGGCUUGGGCCUGAAAAUUGGCUUGCAAAGCUUCUGAUUUUCUGCUCGAGUUCCUCGGCUAAAGGACUAAUUUGAGUGGCUGAUUUUGCGAAGAAAAGGGCUGAACUUGUGGCUUCAAGUGGCUGUUGAACGAAGACGCGAGCUGAACCAAAAUCGAGCAGUUUGAUGGACUCGAAUUCGUGUGGAUUGCUUCGGUUUAUUGCGGGACGACAAUGCAGCUCGAAGGAAAUGGGGGCGACAACGCGCGCGCGCGCGCGAGAGAGAGAGAGAGAGAGAGAGAUUGAACAGAGAGAGGUUGAUGGGGUGUGUCGGUCAAAAGAUUAAAGGAAAAUAGAGGAUAAGGUGAGGAGAUAAAAUUGAAAGAAAAGUCAAAGAAGUGAGGAGGGAAAAUGAGACACGGUAGAGAGAGAGAGGGGACGUUGGUGGGGGGAGGAAUUCGCACAAGUGAG
rnacentral:lncRNA from 1 species